ensembl:lncRNA
GCAGCAGGUGUAAUACACUCUGAGAGUGCAGUGCUGCAGGUGUACACACUCUGAGAGUGCAGUGCUGCAGGUGUAAUACACUCUGGUGUCCAGUUCGGGUCGGUGCUUCUCAUAGCACAGGUUAUUCCAGAACAGGGCCAGAAAGAACUACAGCCAAUGAGCAAGUUCGGAAGAGAUCGACUCACAGACUGAGGGGAAGCUGCCACUCUCGCCGCUCACAAGGACCGUUGCUAGGGCCAGCUGUCACCGCGGCACCACGACCUGUGACCUCUGGCUCGUGGAAACGCUUCAAGUCUUGGCAACGGCACACCACGACAACAGGGAUUAUGGGCAACCUUAUAUGUGGUGCUGGACGAAAAAAGACAUCAGAAGCCAAGAAUGAAUCUGAUGACAACACAAAUGCAGACAACACGGGCAAGGACACGCCAGGGACACAGCCAAAGGAGGAAGUCCUCUAUGCAACAAUUGACCAUGGCAAUGGCAAGAAAGCAGGAAAUGUGAUGAGGAUCGUGGAGGGAGAUGACUGUGACUAUGCUGUCGUCAACAUCCCCUCCGAGGACAAGCUGUCAAUCAAAGAGGACUGCUCUGACGACUAUGUGCUAAUGGGUUGAGCUUACGGAGGCCCGAUAGGGACACGAAGCUUCAUAGGUGAAGGGCUUAACCAGGUUGCACACUUCACUACUGACAAACAUCGAGAUAUGUGGCGGGUGUAUGUUGGUAUAUUAGACCAAUAGAAUUGCUUAUUGUAUAAGGAAAGGUUUGGUUUUGGUCGGUACUUUCUCUCUCCAUCACACACACACACAUAAACACACACACACAGAGCUUUACUGAGGUGUAUGCAUGUGGACUAUGGAAUAUACACAAGAAAACAAACAUUUAGGGUAAGCACACAGCGAUGCAGAUAUCUACACAUCUACACAUGCAUAUUUACUGCAAGACUAUUUUGUGUAUAAAGAAGCAUCAGAGCAUUUGUCGCACCUUUUUUUCAUUUUUAAACUGAGAUAUGAAUGUAUGUAUGAACAUUUUGCAUUUUUUCUGUUUAAUUUAUUUACAUCCAAAUGUUCACCUUUUUAAUGUUUUGAUAUGUGCAUUUUGUCUGUCAUUAUAUUGAAGUUUGUUUAUGUGUGUUUGUUUUGUUUGUUUUGGAUACAGAAAUAUAAUACCAGUAUGUGUGUCCACACAAAAUCUAAUGAAUGACUUGAUGUGAACAGAGUUUAAUGGAGUUAUUUGAAUCAAUAAACAGCAAAUAUAUCUCUUAGCUCUCUUUUGCCACUUGAAGCACACUUCUAAAGAUAGUAAAACAGCUCUCUUUAUAUUGCAAGCUCAUUGAUCAUUGAGAGGGAUGUGUGGAUUUCUUUCUGUAGGAGCCCUUUGAUGAGGGUGUCUUGUUUCUUGCCCGCAGUAAAGUCCCUAGCUAACAUUCUGCUCAACACAAAUCUGGCACCCUCCUCUGCUAUGAAAAUCCAAUAAUUUGUUUUAUUGCGUUUCGUUUAUUUUAAGGCACACGUAUGUGCUGACAGCAGUUACAAUUACCACACUUAGUACAAUGAUAGAUGACAGAGUGAUGAACAAUGUGAAUGAACCUGCCAAAAGAAAAAAAGACAGAGCCUACAUAAAUCCCACAUAUUACAGCCCACACAAAAAAAACUCUUGUCGUAGUGUCACAUAAUCUUUAGCUAAUUAGUAUUAUUUUGAGAUUACCAAAUUAUAUUUUCCCUCGGUCAUUUCCACUAAAUUAUUCAUUGACAUAUAUUUUUCAUAUUUAUUUGCAACAUCAAUCAUAUCAUUGUUCACAAACACAGAUGAUGGCUUCCUUAAAACAAUCUAAUCAUUGGAAGAGUUCUCACCAUCAGUCAUCUCCAUGACAACAGAAUGCUUAUGGGUCCAGGAGGCGUGACUGGCCACACAGGUCAGGUUGCCCUGGGUGAUGUCAUCAGGCAGGAGCAGCCAGCUCUCCAUGGUGACGGUUCCAUCUGUGUUGUUGGUUGACCUCUCAGUGACCUUAGGGGACCACCACUCCUCCUCCCAGGACACUGUGGCCUCUGGUUUUCCACGGGCAGCAGAACAGACAGCAAACCGCUGACCGCCGUCAUGCUCUAGUCUGGUGGAG